rnacentral:misc_RNA from 1 species
UAUACAGUAUUAUCUGCGUGAUGUAGUAGUAAAUAUCCAUGUAUAUGUUAAAUUUUGUCAUUGUUGGUAACUUUAAGCUUACAAUAGCAGGUUGUCAUGGAUAUGCGUUUAUUUCUCUCACACACACAAUGUUCAGUUUUUGGUACAUGUGCAUAUAAAGAAAUGCUAGUAAAUAACAUUUUUAACUCCAUGUUAAUCGUCACGUGUGCUGUCACACGGUAGAUGACGUCUUUCGUUACUGCAUAGGUUAGUUUCAUCUUUUUUUUCACUUGUCAGUUUGACAGUCUAUGAGAUAUGCGGAUUAUUCGCAUGAAAAUAAAUCUUGCAAUUCCGACUUAGAAAUUAAGAUAUAAAAAAAUAUAAUUCAGUUGAGGAAUGCUUGCAAAAAAUUUUGUUUAUAUUUUGUUCUUAGUAGUUAAAAAAAAUAUACGAAAUAACUUUAACCCCAAUUACAAAAAAAGUUUAUGAAAAACAUUCAGUUACUCGAGUGUCGAUGUAAAUAUAUGUAUAGAUACUAGCUCUACAUUGGUUCUAGCUAGUAAUAUAAAAAAAUUACUAUAAAAAUCAAAAUGUAAAGAUGAUAACAUUAUAUUAUGUUUUUGUGAUAUAUAUUUCAUGUUACACAUUAUUGAUAUAACAGAAUAUAAUUUGAUUAGUAUAAUGAAUUUUUAAGUUGAUAUUUGAUUGAUAUUUAAUUUCAUAAAUUUUUUUAAAAGAUUUUCUAAAACUUCUGUAGUUAUUACACAUACGUAAUAUAAU